rnacentral:rRNA from 1 species
AUUGAACGCUGGCGGCAGGCCUAACACAUGCAAGUCGAACGAGUGGCGGACGGGAGAGUAAUGUCUGGGAAACUGCCUGAUGGAGGGGGAUAAAUACUGGAAACGGUAGCUAAAACCGCAUACCAGCCACUGUGCCAAGAUGGGAGUAGCUAGUUGGUGGGGUAACGGCUCACCAAGGCGAAGAUCCCUAGCGGGUCUGAGAGGCUGACCAGCCACACUGGAACUGAGACACGGGCCAGACUCCUACGGGAGGCAGCAGUGGGGAAUAUUGCACAAUGGGCGCAAGCCUGAUGCAGCCAUGCCGCGUGUAUGAAGAAGGCUUUCGGGUUGUAAAGUACUUUCAGCGGGGAGGCGUUACCCUCAGAAGAAGCACCGGCUAACUCCGUGCCAGCAGCCGCGGUAAUAC